rnacentral:rRNA from 1 species
CAGUAGCCGCGGGAAUACGUAGGGUGCAAGCGUUAAUCGGAAUUACUGGGCGUAAAGCGUGCGCAGGCGGUUAUAUAAGACAGAUGUGAAAUCCCCGGGCUCAACCUGGGAACUGCAUUUGUGACUGUAUAGCUAGAGUACGGCAGAGGGGGAUGGAAUUCCGCGUGUAGCAGUGAAAUGCGUAGAUAUGCGGAGGAACACCGAUGGCGAAGGCAAUCCCCUGGGCCUGUACUGACGCUUAUGCACGAAAGCGUGGGGAGCAAACAGGAUUAGAGACCCCAGUAGUCCCUGUCUCUUAUAC